rnacentral:rRNA from 1 species
CCCUUAGAUGUUCUGGGCUGCACGCGCGCUACAAUGUCAUGAAAACCGGGAUGCUUUAACGAAAUUUAUUGAGAAACCCCAACUCAUGACGCGACUGGGAUUGACGUUUUUACUUAUUCGUCAUGAACGAGGAAUUCCUAGUAAACGCGAAUCAUCAGUUCGUGUUGAUUAUGUCCCUGCCCUUUGUACACACCGCCCGUCGCUCCUACCGAUUGAGCGUUUUGGUGAGCACUCUGGAGUGCAGCAAUGCAUAAAUGAAUGCAAACCUGAGCGUUUAGAGGAAGGAUAAGUCGUAACA